rnacentral:rRNA from 1 species
UACAGAGGUCUCAAGCGUUGUUCGGAUUCAUUGGGCGUAAAGGGUGCGUAGGUGGCGCCGUAAGUCGGGUGUGAAAUUUCGGAGCUUAACUCCGAAACUGCAUUCGAUACUGCGGUGCUUGAGGACUGGAGAGGAGACUGGAAUUCACGGUGUAGCAGUGAAAUGCGUAGAUAUCGUGAGGAAGACCAGUGGCGAAGGCGGAUCUCUGGACAGUUCCUGACGCUGAGGCGCGAAGGCCAGGGGAGCAAACGGG